rnacentral:ncRNA from 1 species
AUCAAACCGAUAAUCAAGAGGAGUACGCAUCAUACCUAGUUUCCAGAGAGUCGCCGCCAGUGAGAGUGCGAUAGCUUAGGGGAUGCCGAAUGGACUUGAGAGGGUUGCCUUGAAAAGAGUAGGGGCAAACGGGGAACCUGAUCCGUUAACAGACAGGCGCAUAUGUUGGUAUGCGAACGAGUGGGCGGUUUUUAUCGUCAAUUUGGGUGGUAUCGCAGGAGAUUACAAGCUCUUGUCCCUUUU